rnacentral:rRNA from 1 species
AUUGAACGCUGGCGGCAGGCCUAACACAUGCAAGUCGAACGAGUGGCGGACGGGUGAGUAAUGACUGGGAAACUGCCUGAUGGAGGGGGAUAACGACUGGAAACGGUAGCUAAUACCGAAUACAAGCGGAUGUGCCCAGAUGGGAAUAGCUAGUAGGUGGGGUAAAGGCGCACCGAGGCUACGAUCCCUAGCUGGUCUGAGAGGAUGACCAGUCACACUGGAACUGAGACACGGGCGAGCCUCCGACGUGAGGCAGCAGUGGGGAAUAUUGCACAAUGGGCGCAAGCCUGAUGCAGCCAUGCCGCGUGUAUGAAGAAGGCCUUCGGGUUGUAAAGUACUUUCAGCGGGGAGGCGUUACCCGCAGAAGAAGCACCGGCUAACUCCGUGCCAGCAGCCGCGGUAAUUC